UACGAAGGGGGGCUAGCGUUGCUCGGAAUCACUGGGCGUAAAGCGCACGUAGGCGGCUUUCUAAGUCAGGGGUGAAAUCCUGGAGCUCAACUCCAGAACUGCCUUUGAUACUGGAGAGCUUGAGUUCGGAAGAGGUGAGUGGAACUCCGAGUGUAGAGGUGAAAUUCGUAGAUAUCUGGAGGAACACCGGUGGCGAAGGCGACAUCCUGGACCGGUAUUGACGCUGAGGCGCGAAAGCCAGGGGAGCAAACGGG
rnacentral:rRNA from 1 species